GUAGGUGGCAAGCGUUGUCCGGAAUUAUUGGGCGUAAAGCGCGCGCAGGCGGUCCUUUAAGUCUGAUGUGAAGGGCCCACGGGCUCAACCGUGGAGGGUCAUUGGAAACUGGGGGACUUGAGUACAGAAGAGGAAAGCGGAAUUCCAAGUGUAGCGGUGAGAUGCGUAGAGAUUUGGAGGAACACCAGUGGCGAAGGCGGCUUUCUGGUCUGUAACUGACGCUGAGGCGCGAAAGCGUGGGGAGCAAACAGGAUUAGAUACCCUGGUAGUCCACGCCGUAAACGAUGAGUGCUAAGUGUUAGGGGGUUUCCGCCCCUUAGUGCUGCAGCUAACGCAUUAAGCACUCCGCCUGGGGAGUACGGCCGCAAAGGCUG
rnacentral:rRNA from 1 species